rnacentral:rRNA from 1 species
UACGAAGGGGGCUAGCGUUGCUCGGAAUCACUGGGCGUAAAGCGCACGUAGGCGGAUCUUUAAGUCAGGGGUGAAAUCCUGGAGCUCAACUCCAGAACUGCCUUUGAUACUGGGGAUCUCGAGUCCGGAAGAGGUGAGUGGAACUCCGAGUGUAGAGGUGAAAUUCGUAGAUAUUCGCAGGAACACCAGUGGCGAAGGCGGCUUACUGGUCCAUAACUGACGCUGA